AAUACUGUUACAUAUAUUCAGGUGAUCUAUCUCAUUGCUCGUGCAUUUGAUGCAAUGACCCAAUGUAGAUACAGUGAUGUCUCUGCUCAACACCGCCACGACCGGAGCACGCAGUUGCUCAACAUGCAAGAAGAGGCCAGCAGCCAUGUCUCUGCUCGCCGACGUAGCGAUCCCGUGCCCGAGCAGUUCGAGAAGAGGGUGUGCAUGGAUAAGCUCGUGUUCGUCUUCGGCUACUGCAAGCCUGCAAGUGCGGGAGUUACAAGGUUCCUCCGUUGGGCUUGGGUCCAGAAGGGAACGAGUGCUGAAUUUUGUAGUUCUUCAGGAGAUUUCACCUAAGCAGGAAUAGUUUCCGUCUCAAGUCUCAACAUUGAGAUCAAUGCGAAGGUUAUGUUGAAAUAUUGGGGGAGG